CGCCCCUGGAAGGCGAGAGCAGAGCGCGGGUCAGGCCCCGCCGCGGGGAGCGGGCGCCUGGCGGGACCCGCCGCCGCCAUUUCCUGCGCCCCCCGCCGCGCCGUGGCCGCGGGCGCCUGAGGGGGCCCGGCGCCGCCGCCAUUUCCUGCGCCCCCCCGCCGGGCUGUGGCGCAGCACCCGCCCCGCGGCGGCCGCUCGCCACGGGCCGCCGGAGCCGGCCCGGCAGCCGCCGGAGGGUCCCUCGUCGCCGGGGGGCCGCCCGGGAGCGGGACGCCACCAGGCAGCGCCGCCCAGGCCAGGCCCGCGAGCGGGGCCUCCCGCUGCAGCCGAGGCCCUGGCAGCGGCCUCUGAACUAUCCCUGACUCCUCGAGUAAUUUAUUGCCUUUUUUUUUUUUUUUCAUAUUGAGAAACGGCAGAUGAUCCCGGAGAUUUAUAGACGAGGUUAUGCGGUGUUAUGUAACUGCUGAUCGUGAUGUGCCACGCAGUUGUGCCUAUGGAAGUGGCUCCUCUCCUUAACGUAAACAGGAGGGUCCACCAGAAGAGAAACUCCACUGUGCUUCUGUGUCCACUGUGUCAACGGCAGCCUCCUUCCUCCAAAGUGGAGAAAGUCAUGAGAACAUUUUAUUUAGGCUGACCUUUUAAGGUCAAAAGCCACAAUGGAUUCUUGACCUGAAUAUGAAAUAAAUGCUUCUUCUCUGCCAA